GACGAACGCUGGCGGCGUGCCUAAUACAUGCAAGUCGAACGCAGUGGGGACGGGUGAGUAACACGUGGGUAACCUCCCGUCAGAGGGGAUAACCCUUGGAAACAGGUGCUAAACCGAUACUGAGGGAUGGACCCGCGGUGCAUUAGCUAGUCGGUGAGGUAACGGCUCACCAAGGCCACGAUGCAUAGCUGGUCUGAGAGGAUGACCGGCCACACUGGAACUGAGACACGGUCCAGACUCCUACGGGAGGCAGCAGUGGGGAAUAUUGCACAAUGGGCGCAAGCCUGAUGCAGCCAUGCCGCGUGUAUGAAGAAGGCCUUCGGGUUGUAAAGUACUUUCAGCGGGGAGGCGUUACCCGCAGAAGAAGCACCGGCUAACUCCGUGCCAGCAGCCGCGGUAAUAC
rnacentral:rRNA from 1 species